CAGCCGCCGCGGGAAAACGUAGGGUGCGAGCGUUAAUCGGAAUUACUGGGCGUAAAGCGUGCGCAGGCGGUUAUAUAAGACAGAUGUGAAAUCCCCGGGCUCAACCUGGGACCUGCAUUUGUGACUGUAUAGCUAGAGUACGGUAGAGGGGGAUGGAAUUCCGCGUGUAGCAGUGAAAUGCGUAGAUAUGCGGAGGAACACCGAUGGCGAAGGUAAUCCCCUGGACCUGUACUGACGCUCAUGCACGAAAGCGUGGGGAGCAAACAGGAUUAGAUACCCCAGUAGUCCCUGUCUCUUAUAU
rnacentral:rRNA from 1 species